GUCCUCCCUAUGAUUUAGUGGGCAUAUGAUAACUUUCAGUCAUUAAUCUGAUUUUAAACUGCCCACAGAGAGCAAAGGACAGCUGAAAAAAACCACUUUAUAUACACAGGUAACAGUGACACCCCUUCUGGAGUAACAAUCUCUUGCAUCCUUCUGGAAGUGGGAUUGUGGAUCACAGGAUGUGAGUGCAAGGGUAUUAAUAUGACUGUGAAAGAUGGCACUUCCAUGAUCAUUGGUGGAUUUAGUGGCUGCCAAAUUCAUAAACAUAUCAGGAUAAAAUACAGGUUAUACCUCUGAGUGAGAUUUAUCUCAGUCCAGGCAUAGCAUUAGAACUGAGCCUAAAUUCCAAACUGCCCCUCAGCAGUUCCUCAUGUUUUUAAUGCAUUGCCUUUACCUUCCCAGUUCUGUAGGGAAUAGCCUGGGAAUUAAAAUAUAUUCCCAAGUGAUGAACACAACUAUAAUUCCAGAACAAGUUUCUUUUGUGACUUUCCAAAAUGAGCAAGCUAAUUUUUUUUUGUAUGUUAGAAAAAAAAAAAAAAAGGAGUAGAAGAAGGAAAGGAGUAAAACCAAAUUGCUAUUUAGGUUUUUCUUGGAGAGGUGAUAUUAGGGAGCAGUUUGUAGGAAACUACAGCUUUCGGUUCUGGGCAAAUAAUCUGUGCUGAAGUAAAAGCUCUCACGUUCUUCCCAAGAUUUUUGAAGAUGAGCUUGUAGCUUUCUGAAUGUAAAUCAUUAAUAUUUAAGCAAUCUUGAUCCAAUUCAUUAGGACUCUUGCAUAUUUUUUUUUCAUAUUUUCACAGUGAAUGCCUUGAUUUUAGAUUUUUUUUUUCCCUGUUUAAGCUUUGCUUCUCUUUUUUACUCAUUUCUCUUUUUCAGUCCAUAAAUUAACGUUCAGCCUUUGGCAAGCUGCGUUUUUCAGCUGCUGCUCUCUUCUGUCAUACCUGUGACUAAACUUAGUCUUUGAUCAUGUUCCUUUGUGGCUGAUCUUUUCCACUCUGAAGGGAAAAUUAGGGCUAAAAAAAAAAAAAAAAGAGUAUUUCUAUCCUUAGAAUCCUUUUUCCCCUGUGAGAAUCCUUUGGAGAGUUUCAUUUUAAGGAAACAUCCCUGCAGGCCCUGGUUUUUUGUGUCCAGGUACCAAGAAGCAAUUUUGGAUAGAAGGAGAAACCGAAAACAACAGCACUGCAACAGAGGCUGCCACACGUUCCUGGUGUGCCAGAGGUCACCACGCUUCCAAGGGGGGUGGCAGCAACACCUCCCCUCUCAAAAAUUGAACUUCCCUUCUCCCUGUAAGAAAGGAUUGUGUCAAAACACCUCCAGUUACUUCCCAAAAUGUGAAAGGUGCAGGGAAGGUGUGGCUGUAGGUGGCCAACUUGUCUGUGGGGAUGGAGAGGCCUUUGGUGAGUUCAUCCUUCCCUCCAGGGCUGCAGGAAAGACUGGCUGCAGGGCUUUCCUUCCUGGGGAAUUGGAUUGCAAUAAUUUGGGAAGUGCAGGUCUCAAGAGCUGCCUGCACAGAGCAAAUUGGUAAUUAGAAGCAUGUGUUCUCCUGUAAGUGUUCCAGGGAGCUGUGUGGAGCAGAGGGAAAGGCAGGAUUAGCACAGUGUGACAGUUGUACAGAUGCAAACCUGGGGUGCCUUUAACCAUUUGAACCUCACUACAAACUUGGUUGAAAACUCUCUGUGUUCACAGGCUCUCUAGUUUGAUGAUUUUUCCCCUGCCAGCAUUUUAUGUGAAGAUGGCUCUUUUUGACCAGGCUGUUUCUGAAAAGUGACUUUUUAUAAAGGAAAACUAAAAUACUGGUAUUUUUUACUCCAGCUACAGGAAAGAAAUAUGGGAUGAUUUAGUUAAGUGUCACCUAACAGCAAUUAGCCUUAAACCCUUUCCCUUAGGAAAAGGACUUUGGGUUCUGAAUCUUAGUUUUCAGAUGCCUGUCAGCAUAGAGCCCACAGAACUGAACAAAAGAUUUCUGGGACAAUGUACAUGAAAUAAAAUUGCACUUUUCAUCUGCCAAGUCUUUCACUCUUGCUUUGUUUAAAAUUGCCACUUGCAGGGAGGUAGAAAAUCACUCUGUGAAGUGUUUCAGCAGAACAAGCUUGUGGUUAUGGCAGAGUAAUGGAAAUUUUUAUACUGAUUUCUUUUGUAAAGGGGUUUCUCUGAGUUUGAGGAAAUACCCCAUAAAACCUGUGGCUGAAAACAGAUGCCACCUCCUCUUGCAGUGGAGAUGUAACCUCUGCUUGAUGCUUUCCCUCAUGAAAAUAAUUAGCAUGUAAUGCUAAUAUUUUUAAUAUUCUUAUGCAAGGGGAGAAAGUCGUUCUGUGUGUGAUUCUCAGUAGGUCACUGAGGUAGGAUCAAUAAUCCAUUAGCAGGAAUCUCUUCCAUUUAACAUUUACCACUGACAAGUUCUUCUGUCCUUCCCAACCCAAAAGCAGUGCAGAGGAGUAGUCCAGGAGGUUAAAUUGUGGAGGCAGUUAAAAUAGCACCAAAAUAGUUUAAUAUAAAGGUGCUUAGCAGAAACCACAUCUAAAGCAACCUUGUUUUUAAUCCAAAAUGUCAUGUAAGCUGAGAGGCACAGUGAGGACACUUCUUCUGUAUAUACUCUGGUAUCAUGGCCAUGAUACAACAAAAUGGCUUUACAAGUGUUUAUUACACCUGAUUCCUCAGAGCAGUGUGAAAUGGGUCCUGCCUGGAGAAGAAUGAAAAAAAUAAUGCAGAAUUUUUAGCUGUGACUGGAAGGAUUUCCAGUUUUGUUGUUUUAAUAGGUUGGUGAAUCAGUGACCACAGAUUUUUACGUACUGUUGGUUUGGGAUUAUACUUUAUUAUCAUUUAGAACAGCAAUUCAGGGCCAAAUAUAUUUUUCCAUGUCCCACUACUUCUGUAGGCAAAGGAAAUCUUCCUAUGGAUACUACUGUUUGGCACAAUCUAAAAUAUGUUUAGUGGCUUUUGGUUUUUUUUCUAGACUGAGAAAUCAACUUUGAAAGCAAACCAACAAUAGAGGCAUUCAUGGUUUGCUUUUUAAAAGCCACACAUUGUCCUAUCUUAUUCAAAGCAGAAUUUUUUUUCUAAUAACCAAGUUCUCUGAGACUGUUUUUUAAAGUUGUGUAAUAAAAAUAGUUGUCAAAUCUAUUAUGACAGUCUAGACUAUGCACAGAAGGGAACUCUGGGGAAAGCAUGGAGAUUUUCUCAUGGAAACAGAUAAGGAAGGGGAAGAGUCAAAUGCUUCAUCUAUUUUAAAUAAGUUGUCUAAUCUAUAACCUUCCAGAACAGUUCAGUUGUGUUCUUGGGAGGGGGGGAGAUGGAUACAGUGGAUUGUUCUGGAAGAAAAUGUGCCAUUGUCAGCCCCACUGUGCUGGGGGAGUGAUAAGAGCCUGUAAAAGCCCUGUGUUGUUCCCUAAGUAGUCCAGAGGCAAAGCUUUUCCUCUCUCCUGGAGGGAUGCUUGUCCUGUAGGAGAUGGAUUAAUAGCUUGUCACAGGAACACAAACCAAGCCAUCCAGUUGGGCUGGAAUAAAAUGGGUUUAUGUUCUGAAAUCCUGAAUGGAGCAGCUUUUCCUGAUGGGGAACAAAGACACCUCCCAGGCUGAUGCUGUGGGGGGAAUCAGGGAACAGCAUUCCAAGAGGGGCCUGGAUUUGUUUGCAUCUUCCCAUCCUGAUCCUGCAUCUUCCUCUGCCUCCUGACACCAGCUGGAAUAAGGUGCAUGUGAGGCCAAAGCUGCCAAAUCAGGUGAGCAACUUCUGUUAAGAACUUUUCACUGUGCAGAGCAGUAAUUUCGGAGCCAGGGACCACUGCAGGGACAAACUGGGGCUCGAGGGUGCUGGGAAUUCGUUCCUGUGUGCUGGUAUUUGGGUCACAAGCUGAUGGAAGGGGAGAACACAACCCUGCAAGUUUGGGAAUGGGAGCUGAGAAAUGUUCCAGGAGUGGGAUCAUCCCUUGUGGCUGCUGGUAAUUAGGUAAAAUUUGCUGAUUAAUGAGGCCAGAGUUUCACACACGCUUCGAGCCAGCACUGAAAUCUCACCUGACAGAAGUGAUUAGUUUUAACCUGGAUAUGGAUCACUGUGGCUGUAGAAAACUUAUUUUCCAGUAGGGAUGGGUGUGUAAAUAGGACUAAGUGGAAAGGGGGGAGCAGUACAUGUUUAUAAUGUCUUAAACUGUAUAUUCCCAGAAUUUAAGAAUAUAAAGAAUUAAGGGGAAAAUAAGACAAUGAAAUGUAUCCUCUUGGCUUUGAAGCUUUUUAUCUUAUUCAAACUCUUCCUUUACCCAGACUCUUACUCAGAUCUUCUGCUGUACCUGCCUGUUUAGGUUGGGUGAGAACAUUCCCAGGCCAACAGCCCUCUGAUCAGGUGUAGUGAUGUUUGCUCUCCUUCCUUCACAUUUAUUGUAUGUCUGAAAUAUAAGGCAGUAUAACUCCCCUUGGAGGUAUACAGCUAAAAAGCCAAGUUACAUACAAAUAAAGUAACUUCAGGUGCACAGGGAAGUUUUCAAUUACAAAAAAAUCUAAAAAUCAGAAGUCAAAAUCCUUUCACUUCAAGGGAAGUAAUUUGUUUUUGUUUUUGUUUUUACAGUGCAUUUUCCAGUGUAUUCUACUUUGGGCAACACUAAAAACUCAUUAGUACAUGUAAAUAAUUAGCAGUCUGGACUGAUGGCUAAAGAUUAAACCAUAGGUCCAUAUUGCUGGUUUAUGUGGGAGGUGUAGAGCUGAUACAAACAGCAUCCAUGGAGGGCUGGGGUUUUUGCAUAGCUCUACUACAACUGUGACAGCACUGAGAAAGCCAGUAGGAAAUAGUUUUUGUGUGCAGAAUAUAAAAUGUGUCCCAGGGGAUGCGAGGGAAACAUGAUUAGCUGAAACUGUAAACCUUAAUACAAUAGAAACUAUGAAGGAGGUACAGGAUUUAGUAAUUUCCCCCAAUUUUUUAUCAUUAGUGACGCUGCUGGAACUGACAAAAAACCCACCAGUCUUGUCAGUAGAGUGGAAGUUGGCACUUGGAAUAUUUCUUGCUUUGAUAGGAGGAAGGAGGAGCAAGAGCAGUGGGAAAUGUCUUAAUUGUCCCCCCAGUGCCUGAGCCCUUUGUGAGAUGAAAGCUGCUUUCAUUGCCUUCCUGAGCAAACCAGCCCCUCAAUUACAGUCAAUGAGUCUGUUCCUCCUCUGGUUUGAGUUUUAGGAUGACAAGGAACUGAGGCUUUCCAACAUGUAACAGCAAAGCAAACAACUGUUUCAGGAAUUCGUAUGUUUACAGAAGAUGUUUUAACAACUUAAUCAAUCUGUGAUUGAUUCCUGGCAUUUCUCAUCAUCAUCUGUAGUCCCUUUUACCUAGUGAAGCAGGGUCCCAGGGUCCACUGAAACACCCACAGAAGGAUUUGUGGCACAUCUUGCUGAGACAAGAAAAGAAAUAACCACCAAUUCCUGACCUAGAUCAGUCAGCACACAGUUUAUUUUGCCUUGGGAGACAUCACGAAGGAGACCAGCAUGGAGACCAGCUGAGAUACUGCAGGAGUGUAUGAAGAGCCAAUUGGAAUGACUUUUAAUCCCUUCUCUCAUUUAGUCCUGAGGUUAAAAGGUGUUGUUCAUCCCAAGGGAGCCCUGAAGAGAAAGGAUGGUGGAGCCUUGGAUUGCAGGAAGUCUCGUGCUGUUCCCUAAACACUCUCAAAGUGUUCAUGAAAUGCAGCCUUUGCCACAGUGGAUCCCAAAGACCUUCCUGCAAAUUAUGUUCAAUUAAUUCCUGGGCUGGAGUUGUGCAGCUCCCGGGCACUGAGUGACACAUCCCAGGAGAAAGUGCUUUCCCCCGUCGGGGGACGGUCCCUGCAUUUCAAGCGAGAGCCGCCCGACCCACCCACGUCAUUUUGUGCUGAGAUCACUCCUGGUUCUGCCGGGCUGAGCUUUCCUUCCUCCUGAGCUGCUGGAACACAGGCAAUGCUGCAGUGUCUGCCCUGGCCCUGUGAGGAGCAUCUCAGGGCACAGUGCCUCCCAUCAGGCACCGUUCCCAACUUCUUCCUCAUCUAACCAACGGAUCCCUGAGCCCUGUUUCCUUAUUUCCCUUCUCUUCCCAGUCCAUUUUCCUUUCCCACCUUCUCCCACUGCUGUCCUGGCAUUGCCUUUGAUAUUGAUAUAGUUCUUCGCUGGAAAUGGAUUUCUUCUGGAAUUUCUUCUGGGAAUUGUGUUACACUCCAAGCAGGACACAGUGAAGAACGUUUUAGUGGAGUUAUUGAAGGUGAUGGACCUGACUCAUAAGGACUGAAACUUGGAUAAAAAAAACCCCCACAAUUCCCCUGGUGCCGGGGUCACUCUGCUCAAAAAGGAACAAUCAUGGAAUUUAUUUCUUGUAAAGCUCACACUGAACAGCAUUUUUGGAUGUAUUGCAUGUGAAGCCAACCCUGUGCCAGGAGUGUGUGUUUUGAAUUAUCUGCUCUCCUUAUUUGAAGAGAUCUGUCCCUGUACUCUGAUUGCUCCUUGGUG